GAUGAACGCUGGCGGCGUGCCUAAUACAUGCAAGUCGAGCGUACAGACGAGGAGCUUGCUCCUCUGACGUUAGCGGCGGACGGGUGAGUAACACGUGGAUAACCUACCUAUAAGACUGGGAUAACUUCGGGAAACCGGAGCUAAUACCGGAUAAUAUAUUGAACCGCAUGGUUCAAUAGUGAAAGACGGUUUUGCUGUCACUUAUAGAUGGAUCCGCGCCGCAUUAGCUAGUUGGUAAGGUAACGGCUUACCAAGGCAACGAUGCGUAGCCGACCUGAGAGGGUGAUCGGCCACACUGGAACUGAGACACGGUCCAGACUCCUACGGGAGGCAGCAGUAGGGAAUCUUCCGCAAUGGGCGAAAGCUUGACGGAGCAACGCCGCGUGAGUGAUGAAGGUCUUCGGAUCGUAAAACUCUGUUAUUAGGGAAGAACAAAUGUGUAAGUAACUAUGCACGUCUUGACGGUACCUAAUCAGAAAGCCACGGCUAACUACGUG
rnacentral:rRNA from 1 species